GCCUGAGAUGGAGCUCGCGUCUGAUUAGCUAGUUGGUGGGGUAAAGGCCUACCAAGGCAACGAUCAGUAGCUGUUCUGAGAGGAAGAGCAGCCACACUGGGACUGAGACACGGCCCAGACUCCUACGGGAGGCAGCAGUGGGGAAUUUUCCGCAAUGGGCGAAAGCCUGACGGAGCAAUACCGCGUGAGGGAGGAAGGCUUGUGGGUUGUAAACCUCUUUUCUCACGGAAGAAGAUCUGACCGGACCAAAGGAAUCAGCAUCGGCUAACUCCGUGCCCCCAGCCGCGGUAAACGGAGGAUGCAAGCUUUAUCCUGAAUAAUUGGGCGUAAAGCGUCCUUAGGUGGUACUUCAAGUCCGUUGUAAAAAACGAGGGCUUAACUCUGGACAGGCACUGAAAACUGAUGAACUACAGUAGGGUUGGGGUAGAGGGAAUUCCUAGUGUACCGGUGAAAUGCUUAGAUUUUAGGAAGAACAUCAUGGCGAAGGCGCUUUACUGGCACUGAACUGACCCUGAGGGACGAAAC
rnacentral:rRNA from 1 species